rnacentral:rRNA from 1 species
GACGAACGCUGGCGGCGUGCCUAAUACAUGCAAGUCGAACGCACUCUCGUUUAGAUUGAAGGAGCUUGCUCCUGAUUGAUAAACAUUUGAGUGAGUGGCGGACGGGUGAGUAACACGUGGGUAACCUGCCCUAAAGUGGGGGAUAACAUUUGGAAACAGAUGCUAAUACCGCAUAAAACCUAACACCGCAUGGUGUAGGGUUGAAAGAUGGUUUCGGCUAUCACUUUAGGAUGGACCCGCGGUGCAUUAGUUAGUUGGUGAGGUAAAGGCUCACCAAGACCGUGAUGCAUAGCCGACCUGAGAGGGUAAUCGGCCACACUGGGACUGAGACACGGCCCAGACUCCUACGGGAGGCAGCAGUAGGGAAUCUUCCACAAUGGACGAAAGUCUGAUGGAGCAACGCCGCGUGAGUGAAGAAGGUUUCGGAUCGUAAAACUCUGUUGUUGGAGAAGAAUGUAUCUGAUAGUAACUGAUCAGGUAGUGACGGUAUCCAA